rnacentral:rRNA from 1 species
UUGACCUCGAAUCAGGUAGGGAUACCCGCUGAACUUAAGCAUAUCAAUAAGCGGAGGAAAAGAAACCAACCGGGAUUACCUCAGUAACGGCGAGUGAAGCGGUAACAGCUCAAAUUUGAAAUCUGGCUCCUACGGAGUCCGAGUUGUAAUUUGUAGAAGAUGCUUUGGGAGGUAGGGCCGGCCUAAGUUCCUUGGAACAGGACAUCAGAGAGGGUGAGAAUCCCGUAUGUGGCCGUGGCCUACGCCCGUGUAAAGCUCUUUCGACGAGUCGAGUUGUUUGGGAAUGCAGCUCAAAAUGGGUGGUAAAUUUCAUCUAAAGCUAAAUAUUGGCCAGAGACCGAUAGCGCACAAGUAGAGUGAUCGAAAGAUGAAAAGCACUUUGGAAAGAGAGUUAAACAGUACGUGAAAUUGUUGAAAGGGAAGCGCUUGCAACCAGACUUGGGUGUCGUGGAUCAUCCGAGGUUCUCCUCGGUGCACUCGACGAUGCGCAGGCCAGCAUCGGUUUGGGUGGUUGGAGAAAGGCUCUAGGAACGUAGCUCUCUUCGGGGAGUGUUAUAGCCUAGGGCGCAAUGCAGCCCAUCCGGACCGAGGACCGCGCCUUCGGGCUAGGAUGCUGGCGUAAUGGUUGUAAGCGACCCGUCUUGAAACACGGACCAAGGAGUCUAACAUCUAUGCGAGUGUUUGGGCGUUAAACCCAUACGCGGAAUGAAAGUGAACGUAGGUGAGAACCCGUUAGGGUGCAUCAUCGACCGAUCCUGAUCU